CCUACGGGUGGCAGCAGUCGAGAAUCAUUCACAAUGGGGGAAACCCUGAUGGUGCGACGCCGCGUGGGGGAAUGAAGGUCUUCGGAUUGUAAAUCCCUGUCAUGUGGGAGCAAAUUAAAAAGAUAGUACCACAAGAGGAAGAGACGGCUAACUCUGUGCCAGCAGCCGCGGUAAUACAGAGGUCUCAAGCGUUGUUCGGAAUCACUGGGCGUAAGGCGUGCGUAGGCUGUUUCGUAAGUCGUGUGUGAAAGGCGCGGGCUCAACCCGCGGACGGCACAUGAUACUGCGAGACUAGAGUAAUGGAGGGGGAACCGGAAUGCUCGGUGUAGCAGUGAAAUGCGUAGAUAUCGAGAGGAACACUCGUGGCGAAGGCGGGUUCCUGGACAUUAACUGACGCUGAGGCACGAAGGCCAGGGGAGCGAAAGGGAUUAGAUACCCGGGUAGUC
rnacentral:rRNA from 1 species